rnacentral:sRNA from 2 species
AGAACGUGAAGGAUAAUGUUGCUUUAGCAACGGCCCGAAGGGCGAGGCAAAGCCGAGUCAUCCUGCACGACCCACCA